rnacentral:rRNA from 1 species
UACGUAGGGUGCGAGCGUUAAUCGGAAUUACUGGGCGUAAAGCGUGCGCAGGCCGCUUCGCAAGCUAGGUGUGAAAGCCCCGGGCUUAACCUGGGAACUGCAUUUAGGACUGCGAGGCUCGAGUGCGGCAGAGGGAGGUGGAAUUCCACGUGUAGCAGUGAAAUGCGUAGAGAUGUGGAGGAACACCGAUGGCGAAGGCAGCCUCCUGGGCCGACACUGACGCUCAUGCACGAAAGCGUGGGGAGCAAACAGG